CCUACGGGGUGCAGCAGUGGGGAAUAUUGCACAAUGGGCGAAACCCUGAUGCAGCGACGCCGCGUGAGCGAUGAAGUAUUUCGGUAUGGAAAGCUCUAUCAGCAGGGAAGAAAAGGACGGUACCUGUCUAAGAAGCCCCGGCUAACUACGUGCCAGCAGCCGCGGUAAUACGUAGGGGGCAAGCGUUAUCCGGAUUUACUGGGUGUAAAGGGAGCUUAGACGGGGGUGCAAGCCAGAUGUGAAAGCCCGGGGCUCAACCCUGGGACUGCAUUUGGAACUGUGCUGCUAGAGUGUCGGAGAGGCAGGCGGAAUGCGUGGUGUAGCGGUGAAAUGCGUAGAUAUUAGGAGGAACACCAGUGGCGAAGGCAGCCUGCUGGACGAUGACUGACGUUGAGGCUCGAAAGCGUGGGGAGCAAACAGGAUUAGAUACCCCUGUAGUC
rnacentral:rRNA from 1 species